GUCCUUUUGAAUUUAAUUUAAGGUUUAACCUGCCCACUGAAAUUUUUUGAAGGGCCGCAGUAAUUUGACUGUGCAAAGGUAGCAUAAUCAUUAGUUUUUUAAUUGAAAGCUUGUAUGAAGGGUUGGACGAGGUAAAUUCUGUCUCUAUUUAAUUUUAUAUAGAAUUUAAUUUUUAAGUUAAAAAGCUUAAAUUUUUUUAAAAGACGAGAAGACCCUAUAGAUCUUUAUAUUAAAAAUAUUAAUUUUAAUUAAGAAUAUUUAAUUUUUUAGUAUUUAUAAUAUUUUAUUGGGGUAAUAAAAAGAUUAAAAUAAUUCUUUUUUUAUUUUAACAUUUAUUUAUGAUUAUAUGAUCCAAUUUUAUUGAUUAAAAGAUUAAGUUACCUUAGGGAUAACAGCGUAAUUUUUUUAGAGAGUUCAUAUCGAUAAAAAAGUUUGCGACCUCGAUGUUGGAUUAAAAAUUAUCUUAGGUGCAGAAGUUUAAGAUUUUGGUCUG
rnacentral:rRNA from 1 species